rnacentral:rRNA from 1 species
CAGCCAGACUCCUACGGGAGGCAGCAGUGGGGAAUAUUGCACAAUGGGCGAAAGCCUGAUGCAGCAACGCCGCGUGAGCGAUGAAGGCCUUCGGGUCGUAAAGCUCUGUCCUCAAGGAAGAUAAUGACGGUACUUGAGGAGGAAGCCCCGGCUAACUACGUGCCAGCAGCCGCGGUAAUACGUAGGGGGCUAGCGUUAUCCGGAAUUACUGGGCGUAAAGGGUGCGUAGGUGGUUUCUUAAGUCAGAGGUGAAAGGCUGCGGCUCAACCGUAGUAAGCCUUUGAAACUGGGAAACUUGAGUGCAGGAGAGGAGAGUGGAAUUCCUAGGGGAGCGGUGAAAUGCGGAGAUAUUAGGAGGAACACCAGUGGGGAAGGCGGCCUGCUGGGCUUUUACUGACGCUGAGGCUCGAAAGUGUGGGGGGCAAACAGGAUUA